rnacentral:rRNA from 1 species
AUUGAACGCUGGCGGCAGGCUUAACACAUGCAAGUCGAGCGCGCGGGGGGGGGGUGAGUAGUGUCUGGGAAACUGCGUGAGGGGGGGGGAAAACUAGUGGACACGGGCGAAAACCGCGCAUACCAUGAGAUGUCCCCAGAUGGGAUUGGCGAGGAGGUGGGGUAGUGGCACCCCUAGGCGACGAUCCAUAGCUGGUCUGAGAGGAUGACCAGCCACACUGGAACUGAGCCACGGGCCAGACUCCUACGGUAGGCAGCAGUGGGGAAUAUUGCACAAUGGGCGCAAGCCUGAUGCAGCCAUGCCGCGUGUAUGAAGAAGGCCUUCGGGUUGUAAAGCACUUUCAGCCAGGAGGCGUUACCCGCAGAAGAAGCACCGGCUAACUCCGUGCCAGCAGCCGCGGUAAUAC